AAUGAAGAUGCUCUCCGAGCCACAUGACCUAAAGCUGCCAAGCCAUGGUUUGCUGGCCGUCAGGGUACAUUGGGAAACCGGCGUGCCUUCCAUUGCGAAAAGGAGAGUUGACUCUCGGUAA
rnacentral:ncRNA from 2 species